UACGUAGGCAGCGAGCGUUGUUCGGAAUUACUGGGCGUAAAGGGCGCGCAGGCGGCCCUUGAAGUCAGGCGUGAAAGCCCCGGGCUCAACCUGGGAGGUGCGCUUGAUACUCGAGGGCUUGAGUGCGGGAGAGGAGAGUGGAAUUCCCAGUGUAGAGGUGAAAUUCGUAGAUAUUGGGAAGAACACCGGUGGCGAAGGCGGCUCUCUGGACCGUAACUGACGCUGAGGCGCGAAAGCGUGGGGAGCAAACAGG
rnacentral:rRNA from 1 species